AGCGAACGCUGGCGGCAGGCUUAACACAUGCAAGUCGAACGCAUCCUUCGGGUUGAGUGGCAGACGGGUGAGUAACACGUAGGAACGUACCCUUCGAUCUGGGAUAACUUCGGGAAACUGGAGCUAAUACCGGAUACGCCCUUUUGGGGAAAGGUUUACUGUCGAAGGAUCGGCCCGCGCCUGAUUAGCUAGUUGGUGGGGUAACGGCCUACCAAGGCGACGAUCAGUAGCUGGUCUGAGAGGAUGAUCAGCCACACUGGGACUGAGACACGGCCCAGACUACUACGGGAGGCAGCAGUGAGGAAUAUUGGACAAUGAGCGCAAGCCUGGUCCAUCCAUGCCGGGUGAGUGAUGAAGUCCUUAGGAUUGUAAAGCACUUUUGUCCGGGACGAUAAUGACGGUACCGGAAGAAUAAGCCCCGGCUAACUUCGUG
rnacentral:rRNA from 1 species